CAAAUUGAUAUGACAUGCCCUAUCUUAACCUUUAAGUCCUUCUAAAGUCUAAACAAUAUGUCAAUAUGGAGAAACAACUUAAGAUUUUAAGAUCUGUAUAGGAAACCUCCGAAACCACUAGUAUGGCCCAGUACUUUAACACUUAUAGCCAGGCAUACCUCUCUCAUUAAAUCUUGCAGUGGAACAACAAAUUAUACAGGUCAAAAGGUUCAAUCUUACAGUGGAACAACAAAUUAUACAGGUCAAAAGGUUCAAUCAAAAUAAAAGCACUUAGUUUAAUACAAACGAUGAAAAUAACAAAACCACAAAAAAUCCAACCC
rnacentral:lncRNA from 1 species